GUGCACACUUUAGCAGCACAUGUACUAAAACAGUAAUAAUACAAGGGAGAUUAGCAUGGCUCUUGAAUAAUGGUGACAUGCAAAAUACAAUGUUCUGUAUUUUU